UGGUUCCCGCAUCGAUGAAGAACGCAGCGAAACGCGAUAGGUAAUGUGAAUUGCAGAAUUCCGUGAAUCAUCGAAUCUUUGAACGCACAUUGCGCCUGCUGGCAUUCCGGUAGGCAUAUCUGUUUGAGCGUCAGCAAACAUUCUCGGUUGGAAAUCUAUUUUCCUCCGGUCUUGGGUAGGGUCGCUUAAGAGGUCUCCCCGGCCUCCGCGUCCCGCCUCAAACGUGCUGCACGACCGCUGGCCAAAUCCGGCGAGGUUUAUGGAGUGGUGUUACAUAUCUUCCGUACUCGUCUGGGUACCGCUUCCGCGGCGUUAAACCGUACGUCGACCCUUCGCAGGGACGACAGAAGUUUGACCUCAAAUCAGAUAAGGAUACCCGCUGA
rnacentral:misc_RNA from 1 species